ACUGAAUGGCUUAAGACUUGAACCUGUAGAACAGUGCCUGGCAUGUGACAGAACUAGAGGUCCUCCAGCGAGUCGCACUGUCUACCUCACUGCUGGAGCCUGGUUUCUGAGGUGCAGCCUGCAGCCUUCGCCUGCUCUGUGGGAAGUCAGCGUUCCUAAUACUGCGGUGGCUCACAAGCUGCAGUCACCUGCAGCUGCUUGGUGUGAAGACCCAAGAGAAGAGGCAGGCACUCAGGGAGCCUUCCAACCCAAGGGCUCUCCUUGCAGGACGCCGGGGCAGGCACAUCUUAGGACUUCCUGGCAGACCUGAAUGAGACCUAGCUCUGCUUUGCCCUCUGAGAAAUCCUGGGAUGCCCCAGAGCUGCUGAAACACUCCAUUUCUCCAGGCAACACCCUGGGCUUUGCCCCAAGCACCCUCUACUGCUAUUGCCUAGGACGGAUGGUUUGUCCCCUUUAAGGAAACCCUAGAAAUGUUCGUUAGUGUUCUUAGGUUCUCCAUCUACAUUCCGCUUUCUCUAGGCAACCCAGUCACCCACCCAUGCAUCCAUAGAGGCAGACGUUACUUAAGAAGUAGCAAAGAUGUCAAGCUCUUUGCAGGGGACAAGAACGCUUUGCUUAUCAACUGGGUCACUUUUAAGUUAGCCGAUCAGAUGUGAGGGUGAGCUCUGGCCUCUUAGAAGCAGGUACAGUUUAUCUAUCCCCAUGUGGGGAUAAAAACUGCCACUCAGUGCCCUUGCAUGCUCGAUCAGGAGCCAUGCUCCCUUUUGUAUACUGUCUUUCA
rnacentral:lncRNA from 1 species